rnacentral:lncRNA from 1 species
AUGUGGCACUGGGGAGGGAGUGACAGGGCUUUCCUUGGAACUUCCAGGAAACAGGAGAGAGGGAGGAUAUACCUGACCUUCCUCACCUCCCUCUUCCUCUUGCCUCCUCUGUCCCCUUGCUCAGUGAUGUACUUGGUUACCUUGUCUUGUUUUUUCAGAUGUUCCAUUGGGUUCUUCCUGGACCACUGGCUGACAGCUCCUUUGUGUCUUUUGCUGCAAGCUGGAGCCCAGUGCUACUCCAAGGGUGGUCUGCAGGGGCCUGGAUGCAGCUUCACCUGGAACCUGGGUCUGGAAGAAUCUAAGAGCUGGCACACUGUUGGCCUCCUGCUGAUCAUGGAGGAUUGGGACUUCCUUGGCCAGAGCAUUAAAUUCAGAUGACACAUAACUCUCCUUAUCAAUAGAAUUGAUAAGCCUCACCCCACAAAGAAUGGCUGCUAUCAAGAAAUCAACCAAUAACAAAUGCUGAUGGGGGUGUGGAGAGAAAGGAACCCUUCUCCAUUGUUGGUGGGAGUACAGACUGGUGCAACCACUGUGGAAAUCAGUAUGGAGAUACCUCAAAGAACUAGGACUAGAGGUCCCAUUUGACCCAGCU